CCUACGGGUGGCAGCAGUGAGGAAUAUUGGUCAAUGGGCGCGAGCCUGAACCAGCCACGUAGCGUGAAGGAUGACUGCCCUACGGGUUGUAACCUUCUUUUAUAAAGGAAUACAGUGAGUCUCGUGUGCCUUUUUGUAUUUACUUUAUGAAUAAGGGUCGGCUAACUCCGUGCCAGCAGCCGCGGUAAUACGGUGGAUCCGAGCGUUAACCGGAUUUAUUGGGUUUAAAGGGAGCGUAGAUGGGUUGUUAAGUCAGUUGUGAAAGUUUGCGGCUCAACCGGAGAAUUGCAAUUGAUACUGGCAGUCUUGAGUGCAGUUGAGGUAGGCGGAAUUCGUGGUGUAGCAGUGAAAUGCUUAGAUAUCACGAAGAACUCCGAUUGCGAAGGCAGCUUACUAAACUGCCACUGACAUUGAGGCUCGAAAGUGUGGGUAGCAAACAGGAUUAGAUACCCUAGUAGUC
rnacentral:rRNA from 1 species